CUUCUUGCCUUUAAAAUAUUGGACAAUACUGAGCGCUGUAUCAAGCAAAUGGAAAAAUCUCUGGACCUAUAUCUCAAUCAUAAAUCUAGAUGAACUAGAGAUGAUCGUGAAGAUAAUAAAAGGAGAUGUUUGCUGUCACCUAAUUGAUGAGUUCCCUAGUAGCUCCUCAUAUGCUUAUCAACGCCUUCAACGUUUAGCACAUGCAGCAAGAAGGAAAUUUGCAGACUUUGUGGACCGGCUUAUCCUGUUUCAUUCUGGUUGCGCUAUUGACAACUUUCGACUAUCAUUCCGGUAUGUUGCUCAGGAUGAAUAUGCCUCUAGGGUUGACAAGUGGGUUCACUUUGCCAUGACAAGCAACACCAAAAGGAUUGAAUUGAACUUCUCUGAAGCAAUCAAUUACCAUAGAAGGGAGGGUUGGCAAGUGAACCAAACCAACUUUGCUCAACCCUACACAUUGCGUCCUUACUCUUUUGUAUCCAGGAUACUGGAAACUUUGAUUUUGAACUACUGCAAGUUCAAAGCAUUUAGUUUUGGGCAGUUUGUAUCUCUUCGAAGGUUAUGCUUGAUUUGUGCGGAAGUACUUGAUCGCUCAAUUGGAGAUCUAGUCUCCAAAUGUCCCGCUUUGGAAGAUCUGACCCUGGAAUCCUGUUUCAUUCCUGAUAAAUUCUUCGUGUGUGGCCAGGAACUGAAUAUCAAAAGUUUGUUUUUGAUCAACUGUACGACACGGAAUUGGGUGAUGUUUCCAAUCAAUAUAGCAACUCCAGAACUACUGUCUCUGACAAUAGUAGGAACAUACCUAAUGAGUUCAUUCAUUAACAAAGCGACAAAACUAGUUGAUGUGACAAUUGACAUCCAACAGGGGAUUGUCAACCCAACACAGGGAAACUUUCUGGCUUCGCUUCUGAUUAGUUUAAACCAUUGUCAAGACCUGACGUUAAGUUCCUGGUGCAUUCAGGUACUUUUUUGUUAUUGUCUUUGAUAUAUAAUACAUGAUCACAGAACAAUUAUGUUUUUGUCACAAGUUUUCCUUGUCUGUUGUGAAGGUUUUACCUACAGCAGACAGUCGGUUAGAGCAAUUGCCAAAAUCACUCAAGAAUGUGAAGUACUUAAGGUUGAUGAUGUGUUCAAUGGAACAAGAACUACCUGGAGUAGCCUGCGUAUUAAGAAGCUGCCCAAAUUUAGAGCGUUUGAUCAUGGAUAUUGAUGCGAAUAUGAAUGUUGAUUGGGAUGUGUUUGAGGAAAUAUUUUCAGAAUUUGUUUACCUUGAAGAGUUCAACUCUAUGGAAGCACAAGCUUCACUGUUCAGUUGCCUGCAAAACUGCCUCAAGAAAGUCGUGAUUAACAGGUUUAUUGGAAUAAGUGGAGAG